AUGGCCCUCGAGGACUUCUACGCCGCCUUCCCCAACUCCUCCGCUCGGGUUCGGAUCCUGCAGCGCGACUCCGGCGGGGACGUCGUCGUCGCCGCGUCCGCCGCGCUGCAGCUGAUGACGAGCCAGGGAGCGCGCGCCAUCCUCGGCCCGCAGUCGUCCGUCGAGGCGGCCUUCGUCGCCGACCUCGCCACGCGGGCCGAGGUCCCCGUCGUCUCCUUCUCGGCCACCAGCCCGUCGGUGUCGCCCGCCUCGGCGGGCUUCUUCGUCCGCGCCGCGCUGAGCGACGCGGCGCAGGCCGGCGCCGUCGCCGCGCUCGCCACGCACUUCGGGUGGCGCCGCGUCGUGCCCAUCUACCAGGACGACGACUACGGCGCCGCCUUCGUGCCCUUCCUCGUGGACGCCCUCGCCGACGCGCGCGCCGAGGUCCCCUACCGCUGCGCGCUCCCGGAAGGGGCGGCCCACGACGCCAUCGCCGCGGAGCUGUACCACAUGGAGUCCGAGCAGACGCGCGUCUUUGUGCUGCACACGCGCCCCGGGCUCGCGAAGAAGGUGUUCGCCGCCGCCGCGGAGGCCGGCAUGACGGGCGCCGGCUACGCGUGGAUCAUCACCGACAGGCUCACGGGCCUCGUCGGCUUCGUCGACCCGCCGCAGGGCGUCAUCGGGCUCGCGCCCUACGUGCCGACCACGCCGCGGCUGCGCGAGGUCAAGAGGCGGUGGGUGCGCCGGUACAUGCGUGACCAUCCGCAGGACGAGCCGGAGCACGCCGUGGUGGGCUGCUACGCCGUGUGGGCGUACGACGCCGCAUGGGCCGUCGCGUCCGCGGCAGAGCGACUCAGCUCCGGCGACCUAUCAUCGCCGCCGGGGCUGGUGGGCGGCAAGGGCGGCCCCACCGACAUCUCCGGGCUCCGCAAGUCAAGAUCGGGCGAGAAGCUCCUCCGAGCUAUCAACGACACGACGUUCGAGGGCCUCGGCGGCAGGUUUGAGCUCAUCGACGGCGAGCUCGCGGUGCCGGCGUUCCGCGUGUUAAACAUCGACGAUGGGAAAGCCAAGGGCAUCGGGUUCUGGACGCCGCGGCACGGGCUGAGCCGGCAUGUCGGUCGCGGUUCCAGCAAAGCGGGCGGCGAGCUCUCGCCGUUCAUCUGGCCGGGAGAGUCGACGGUCCGGCCAAGUGGGUGGGCGCAGCCGACGAGCGCCGCGAAGCUGCGGGUGGCGGUGCCGGGGAGGAUCCCGCGCAGCUAUCGGGCGAUCAUGCACAUUGACGUGGACCCGGUGACGAACCGGACAACGGCCGGCGGGUUCGUGAUCGAGGCGUUCGAGGCGGCGGUGCGGCUGCUUCCGUACGCUCUGCCGUUCGACUACGUGAAGGCGGACCCCAUGCCCUACGACCACUUGGCCCAGGCGGUUAACACUUAA
rnacentral:rRNA from 1 species